CCUACGGGAGGCAGCAGUGAGGAAUAUUGGUCAAUGGGCGGAAGCCUGAACCAGCCAAGUCGCGUGAGGGAAUAAGGCCCUACGGGUCGUAAACCUCUUUUGCCGGGGAGAAAGGGCGGGGACGUGUCCCGGCCCGGAGAGUACCCGGAGAAAAAGCAUCGGCUAACUCCGUGCCAGCAGGCGCGGUAAUACGGGGGAUGCGAGCGUUAUCCGGCUUGAUUGGGUUAAAGGGGUGCGUAGGCGGGCUUUUAAGUCAGCGGUAAAAAUUCGGGGCUCAACCCCGUCCGGCCGUUGAAACUGGGGGCCUUGAGUGGGCGAGAGGAAGGCGGAAUGCGUGGUGUAGCGGUGAAAUGCAUAGAUAUCACGCAGAACCCCGAUUGCGAAGGCAGCCUGCCGGAGCCCUACUGACGCUGAGGCACGAAAGUGCGGGGAUCGAACAGGAUUAGAUACCCCUGUAGUC
rnacentral:rRNA from 1 species